rfam:Schistosoma mansoni strain Puerto Rico chromosome W, complete genome
CUCUGACUCGAGUCCCAAAUAGGACGAAACGCGCGUCCUGGAU